rnacentral:rRNA from 1 species
AUAGCUGGUUUCUCAAGAAAAGAAUUUUAGUUCAGCCUAAAGUAAUUUUUACCUCACUAUGUUUCCCAACCCCUUUAGAGUUAUUCAAAUGAGGUACAGCCCAUUUGAUACAGGGUACAACCUUCACUAACGGGUAAAAAAAUCAACUUAUAUCUUCAAGUAGGCUUAAGAGCAGCCAUCUUUUAAAAAGCGUCAAAGCUUAACCCUUAUAAUAUUAAUUUUAAAAUCUACAUUGACCCCUUUAAUUGUAUUGAGAACUUCUAUAUUAUAUAGAACUUUUCAUGCUAAAACUAAUAACAAGAGGAAAACCUUCUCCCCAUGCAAGUGUAAACCAGCAAGAACCCACCCCUGGUAAUUAACAGACCCUAAACAAUAGCAACCCUAACCUAGAGAACCCUACUCCCUCAGCUGUCAACCUAACACUAGAGCAUUUCAAGAAAGAUUAAAAGAAAAAGAAGGAACUCGGCAAACAUUAAUCCCGCCUGUUUACCAAAAACAUCGCCUCUUGGCCCCCCCCAUAAGAGGUCCAGCCUGCCCAGUGACUCUGUUCAACGGCCGCGGUAUUCUAACCGUGCAAAGGUAGCGUAAUCACUUGUUUUCCAAAUAAAGACCAGUAUGAAAGGCACCACGAGGAUUAAGCUGUCUCCUUUUUCUAAUCAGUGAACCUAAUCUCCCCGUGAAGAAGCGGGAAUUAAAAUAUAAGACGAGAAG